rnacentral:tRNA from 1 species
GGGAUAAUAGUAUAGUGGUCAGUACUUCUCGUUGUGGGCUCACACCGACAGCGCCGAGAGGAGCCAGGUUCGAUUCCUGGUUAUCCCA